rnacentral:rRNA from 1 species
AUGUCUGCCUAUUUUUCACCUCCCUAUCUCAUUUACAUUUUUACGAACAGGUUUAGGAUGUCUCGUAAUUUGUUUAAUCGCAUAGCUGAAACUAUACUUCAACAUGAUUAUGAUGGUUAUUUUACGCAAAAAAGAAGUUCUUGUGGACUUCUUGGGUUGCAUCCGUUGCAAAAGAUGACCGCAACAAUGCGAAUGCUAACUUAUGGAAUAGCAGCUGAUAGUGCCGAUGACUACAUCCGGUCUGCAGAAGCUACUAAUCUAGAGGCUUGCAAGAAGUUUGUGAUCAAAAUUUGUGAAGUCUUUGGGAACCAAUACCUGAGAUCUCCAAAUGAAGAAGAUACUACAAGAUUACUUGCAAUAGGGGAGGAAAGAGGAUUCCCUGGUAUGUUAGGGAGUAUAGAUUGUAUGCACUGGGGUUGGAAAAAU